rnacentral:rRNA from 1 species
AGGACGAACGCUGGCGGCGUGCUUAACACAUGCAAGUCGAGCGGAAAGGCCCUUCGGGGUACUCGAGCGGCGAACGGGUGAGUAACACGUGAGUAACCUGCCCCUAGCUCUGGGAUAGCUCCGGGAAACCGGGAUUAAUACCAGAUACGACCACUUUAGACAUCUGUCGUGGUGGAAAGGAUUCCGGCUAGGGAUGGGCUCGCGGCCUAUCAGCUUGUUGGUGGGGUAACGCCUACCAAGGCGACGACGGUAGCCGGCCUGAGAGGGCGACCGGCCACACUGGGACUGAGACACGGCCCAGACUCCUACGGGAGGCAGCAGUGGGGAAUAUUGCGCAAUGGGCGAAAGCCUGACGCAGCGACGCCGCGUGGGGGAUGAAGGCCUUCGGGUUGUAAACCCCUUUCAGCAGGGACGAAGCGAAAGUGACGGUACCUGCAGAAGAAGCGCCGGCUAACUACGCGCCAGCAGCCGC